rnacentral:rRNA from 1 species
CCUACGGGGGGCAGCAGUGGGGGAUAUUGCACAAUGGGGGAAACCCUGAUGCAGCGACGCCGCGUGGGUGAAGAAGUAUUUCGGUAUGUAAAGCCCUAUCAGCAGGGAAGAAAGAAGACGGUACCUGACUAAGAAGCCCCGGCUAACUACGUGCCAGCAGCCGCGGUAAUACGUAGGGGGCGAGCGUUAUCCGGAUUCACUGGGUGUAAAGUGAGCGUAGACGGCCGUGCAAGCCAGGAGUGAAAGCCCGGGGCCCAACCCCGGGACUGCUCUUGGAACUGUGCGGCUGGAGUGCGGGAGGGGCAGGCGGAAUUCCUGGUGUAGCGGUGAAAUGCGUAGAUAUCAGGAGGAACACCGGCGGCGAAGGCGGCCUGCUGGACCGCGACUGACGUUGAGGCUCGAAAGCGUGGGGAGCGAACAGGAUUAGAUACCCGGGUAGUC